rnacentral:rRNA from 1 species
UAGGGAAUCUUCGGCAAUGGACGAAAGUCUGACCGAGCAACGCCGCGUGAGUGAAGAAGGCUUUCGGAUCGUAAAACUCUGUUGUUAGAGAAGAACAAGGACGUUAGUAACUGAACGUCCCCUGACGGUAUCUAACCAGAAAGCCACGGCUAACUACGUGCCAGCAGCCGCGGUAAUACGUAGGUGGCAAGCGUUGUCCGGAUUUAUUGGGCGUAAAGCGAGCGCAGGCGGUUUCUUAAGUCUGAUGUGAAAGCCCCCGGCUCAACCGGGGAGGGUCAUUGGAAACUGGGAGACGUGAAUGCAGAAGAGGAGAGUGGAAUUCCAGGUGUAGCGGUGAAGUGCGUAGAUAUAUGGAGGAACACCAGUGGCGAAGGCGGCUCUCUGGUCUGUAACUGACGCUGAGGCUCGAAAGCGUGGGGAGCAAACAGG